GACGAACGCUGGCGGCAUGCCUAAUACAUGCAAGUCGAGCGGAGUUGAUAGGAAGCUUGCUUCCUUGAUACUUAGCGGCGGACGGGUGAGUAACACGUAGGCAACCUGCCCUCAAGUUUGGGACAACUACCGGAAACGGUAGCUAAUACCGAAUARUUGUUUUCUUCGCCUGAAGRRAACUGGAAAGACGGAGCAAUCUGUCACUUGGGGAUGGGCCUGCGGCGCAUUAGCUAGUUGGUGAGGUAACGGCUCACCAAGGCGACGAUGCGUAGCCGACCUGAGAGGGUGAUCGGCCACACUGGGACUGAGACACGGCCCAGACUCCUACGGGAGGCAGCAGUAGGGAAUCUUCCGCAAUGGGCGAAAGCCUGACGGAGCAAUGCCGCGUGAGUGAUGAAGGUUUUCGGAUCGUAAAGCUCUGUUGCCAGGGAAGAACGCUUGGGAGAGUAACUGCUCUCAAGGU
rnacentral:rRNA from 1 species